rnacentral:rRNA from 1 species
UACGUAGGGUGCAAGCGUUGUCCGGAAUUAUUGGGCGUAAAGAGCUCGUAGGCGGUCUGUCGCGUCUGCUGUGAAAACUCAGGGCUUAACCCUGAGCUUGCAGUGGGUACGGGCAGACUAGAGUGCGGUAGGGGAGACUGGAAUUCCUGGUGUAGCGGUGAAAUGCGCAGAUAUCAGGAGGAACACCGGUGGCGAAGGCGGGUCUCUGGGCAACUACUGACGCUGAGGAGCGAAAGCGUGGGGAGCGAACAGG